GUGCCAGCCGCCGCGGUAAAACCAGCACCUCAAGUGGUCAGGAUGAUUAUUGGGCCUAAAGCAUCCGUAGCCGGCUUUGUUAGUUUUCGGUUAAAUCCAUGUGCUCAACACAUGGGCUGCCGAAAAUACUGCAUGGCUAGGGAGUGGGAGAGGUAGACGGUACUCAGUAGGAAGGGGUAAAAUCCUUUGAUCUAUUGAUGACCACCUGUGGCGAAGGCGGUCUACCAGAACACGUUCGACGGUGAGGGAUGAAAGCUGGGGGAGCAAACCGGAUUAGAUACCCGGGUAGUCCCAGCUGUAAACGAUGCAGACUCGGUGAUGCAUUGGCAUAAUAGCCAGUGCAGUGUCGCAGGGAAGCCGUUAAGUCUGCCGCCUGGGAAGUACGUACGCAAGUAUGAAACUUAAAGGAAUUGGCGGGGGAGCACCACAAGGGGUGAAGCCUGCGGUUCAAUUGGAGUCAACGCCAGAAAUCUUACCCGGAGAGACAGCAGAAUGAAGGUCAAGCUGAAGACUUUACCAGACAAGCUGAGAGGUGGUGCAUGGCCGUCGCCAGCUCGUGCCGUGAGAUGUCCUGUUAAGUCAGGUAACGAGCGAGAUCCCUGCCACUAGUUGCUAUCAUUAUUCUCAGGAAUAAUGGGGCGAAUUAGUGGGACUGCCGUUGUUAAAACGGAGGAAGGAAGGGGCUACGGCAGGUCAGUAUGCCCCGAAACUCUGGGGCCACACGCGGGCUGCAAUGGUAGUGACAAUGAGUUCCAAGCUCGAAAGAGAGUGGCAAUCUCUAAACGCUACCACAGUUAUGACUGAGGGCUGUAACUCGCCCUCACGAAUAUGGAAUCCCUAGUAACCGCGUGUCAUUACCGCGCGGUGAAUACGUCCCUGCUCCUUGUACACACCGCCCGUC
rnacentral:rRNA from 1 species